UACGAAGGGGGCUAGCGUUGCUCGGAAUUACUGGGCGUAAAGGGCGCGUAGGCGGCCAACUUAGUCAGAGGUGAAAGCCCAGGGCUCAACCUUGGAAUUGCCUUUGAUACUGGUUGUCUUGAGUUCGGGAGAGGUGAGUGGAAUGCCGAGUGUAGAGGUGAAAUUCGUAGAUAUUCGGCGGAACACCAGUGGCGAAGGCGACUCACUGGCCCGAUACUGACGCUGAGGCGCGAAAGCGUGGGGAGCAAACAGG
rnacentral:rRNA from 1 species